rfam:Salmo salar isolate Sally breed double haploid chromosome ssa14, whole genome shotgun sequence.
UAGCUCAGUUGGUAGAGCAUGGUGUUUGCAACUUCAGUGUUAUGGGUUCAAUUCCCAU